UACGUAGGGGGCAAGCGUUGUCCGGAAUUAUUGGGCGUAAAGAGCGUGUAGGCGGCCAGAUAAGUCCGCUGUGAAAUCUCGAGGCUCAACUUCGAGCUUUCGGUGGAAACUAUCUGGCUAGAGUCCGGAAGAGGAGAAUGGAAUUCCUGGUGUAGCGGUGAAAUGCGCAGAUAUCAGGAAGAACACCCGUGGCGAAGGCGGUUCUCUGGGACGGUACUGACGCUGAGACGCGAAAGCGUGGGGAGCGAACAGG
rnacentral:rRNA from 1 species